GUGGUUAUGAAAGCGCAUUGGCCAAGCUGGCUUUCCUUCCUCUGACCCCCAUCUAACUAUGGUGAACGCCCUCGUUGGGAUGAGGCCCCCAGGCUCCUGAUAGCAGGUAGAGGAGAGAACGAGAGCGCAAAGAGGGAAGCCGAGAGGAGUGAUGAAGACUCUGGCCCUACCAUCUACUCAGGCUGUCUUUGCAGCCACACUGUGAGCCCAGGCUGGUUAACGCUUCCUCCUGGAGGAGAAAAGCUAAGAGAGAAAACAAAAUCCAUACAGCGCGCUCCCCCUCGGCCCCUCCUCUCUGUCUCCUCUGUGCGCUAACCUCCAAUGCCCUGCGGGAACCAAUUACAGUAUUCUAAUGAGUGU
rnacentral:lncRNA from 1 species